AUUGAACGCUGGCGGCAGGCUUAACACAUGCAAGUCGAGCGGGGUGAUGGUGCUUGCACUAUCACUUAGCGGCGGACGGGUGAGUAAUGCUUAGGAAUCUGCCUAUUAGUGGGGGACAACAUCUCGAAAGGGAUGCUAAUACCGCAUACGUCCUACGGGAGAAAGCAGGGGAUCACUUGUGACCUUGUGCUAAUAGAUGAGACUAAGUCGGAUUAGCUAGUUGGUGGGGUAAAGGCCUACCAAGGCGACGAUCUGUAGCGGGUCUGAGAGGAUGAUCCGCCACACUGGGACUGAGCCACGGCCCAGACUCCUACGGGAGGCAGCAGUGGGGAAUAUUGGACAAUGGGGGGAACCCUGAUCCAGCCAUGCCGCGUGUGUGAAGAAGGCCUUAUGGUUGUAAAGCACUUUAAGCGAGGAGGAGGCUUACCUAGUUAAUACCUGGGAUAAGUGGACGUUACUCGCAGAAUAAGCACCGGCUAACUCUGUGCCAGCCGCCGCAGUAA
rnacentral:rRNA from 1 species